GAUGAACGCUGGCGGCGUGCCUAAUACAUGCAAGUCGAGCGAACGGACGAGAAGCUUGCUUCUCUGAUGUUAGCGGCGGACGGGUGAGUAACACGUGGAUAACCUACCUAUAAGACUGGGAUAACUUCGGGAAACCGGAGCUAAUACCGGAUAAUAUUUUGAACCGCAUGGUUCAAAAGUGAAAGACGGUCUUGCUGUCACUUAUAGAUGGAUCCGCGCUGCAUUAGCUAGUUGGUAAGGUAACGGCUUACCAAGGCAACGAUGCAUAGCCGACCUGAUAGGGUGAUCGGCCACACUGGAACUGAUACACGGUCCAGACUCCUACGGGAGGCAGCAGUAGGGAAUCUUCCGCAAUGGGCGAAAGCCUGACGGAGCAACGCCGCGUGAGUGAUGAAGGUCUUCGGAUCGUAAAACUCUGUUAUUAGGGAAGAACAUAUGUGUAAGUAACUGUGCACAUCUUGACGGUACCUAAUCAGAAAGCCACGGCUAACUACGUGCCAUCAGCCGCGGUAAUACGUAAGUGGCAAGCGUUAUCCGGAAUUAUUGGGCGUAAAGCGCGCGUAGGCGGUUUUUUAGUCUGAUGUGAAAGCCCACGGCUCAACCGUGGAGGGUCAUUGGAAACUGGAAAACUUGAGUGCAGAAGAGGAAAGUGGAAUUCCAUGUGUAGCGGUGAAGUGCGCAGAGAUAUGGAGGAACACCAGUGGCGAAGGCGACUUUCUGGUCUGUAACUGACGCUGAUGUGCGAAAGCGUGGGGAUCAAACAGGAUUAGAUACCCUGGUAGUCCACGCCGUAAACGAUGAGUGCUAAGUGUUAGGGGGUUUCCGCCCCUUAGUGCUGCAGCUAACGCAUUAAGCACUCCGCCUGGGGAGUACGACCGCAAGGUUGAAACUCAAAGGAAUUGACGGGGACCCGCACAAGCGGUGGAGCAUGUGGUUUAAUUCGAAGCAACGCGAAGAACCUUACCAAAUCUUGACAUCCUUUGACAACUCUAGAGAUAGAGCCUUCCCCUUCGGGGGACAAAGUGACAGGUGGUGCAUGGUUGUCGUCAGCUCGUGUCGUGAGAUGUUGGGUUAAGUCCCGCAACGAGCGCAACCCUUAAGCUUAGUUGCCAUCAUUAAGUUGGGCACUCUAAGUUGACUGCCGGUGACAAACCGGAGGAAGGUGGGGAUGACGUCAAAUCAUCAUGCCCCUUAUGAUUUGGGCUACACACGUGCUACAAUGGACAAUACAAAGGGCAGCGAAACCGCGAGGUCAAGCAAAUCCCAUAAAGUUGUUCUCAGUUCGGAUUGUAGUCUGCAACUCGACUACAUGAAGCUGGAAUCGCUAGUAAUCGUAGAUCAGCAUGCUACGGUGAAUACGUUCCCGGGUCU
rnacentral:rRNA from 1 species